UCCGCCAAGGAGUGUGUAACAACUCACCUGCCGAAUGAAUUAGCCCUGAAAAUGGAUGGCGCUAAAGCGGGUAGCCGACACCAUGCCGUCUGUUUAAGUGAUAACAGAUGAGUAGGAGGGCGUGGUGGCCGUAUCGAAGCAUGCUUGCAAAAGCGUGUGGAACGGCCACUAGUGCAGAUCUUGGUGGUAGUAGCAAAUAUUCAAGCGAGAUCCUUGAAGGGCGAAGCGGGGAAGGGUUCCACGCGAACAUUGAUUGGGCGUGGGUGAGUCGUUCCUAAGCCGAGUGGCCAUUGCUAAAUACCGGCGAAAGGGAAGCGGGUUUAAAUUCCCGCACACGGAUGUGGAGGCGGUGACGCUUUACUGAGGCGAAUACGCUGGCGGUGGCGCUGGGCAGAGAUGUCUUUUCUGUUUAACCAUUAUCAAGCAGUGUGGAAUCCGCUUGUCGGGAGAAACACGCUUGGGAGGGAAGAGCGCCGGGCUUUUUCCGGCGUCCAGCUCGCCACCGACGGCCCUUGAAAAUUUGCCUGCUGAUUAAAAUCCACGCCGUGGCGUACCGAUAACCGCAUCAGGUCCCCAAGGUGAACAGCCUCUGUCCAAUAUGAACAAUGCAGGUAAGGGAAGUCGGCAAAUUGGACCCGUAACUUUGGGAAAAGGGUUGGCUCUAGUGCUGCGUGGGAGUGGUUGUCCGUUGUUGGCCGUAUUCUGCUAGCUUGAAGACUCGCUGGCCUCGGCUGGUGGGUGUUUGGGCGGGCGGAGUGCGAUCACGGCGGACGACGCCCACAGCAUGCAGCAGACUAGAACUGCAACGGGCAAAGGGA
rnacentral:rRNA from 1 species